GGGGAAGGGGGGUUGAGCUGGCGUCCCUCGGCCCCCCUCCAGGGUCCGGUCUGAGGGGUCCUUCCUUCAUUAGGGGCGGGGUGGGGGGGGGGGCCCUCAGCUGCCCCCCUGGAGGCCCUGCAGGGUGGUCUGCAGCCCGCUGCGGGCCCCGUCCACCGGCUCCAGGGCCUUGCUGUUGCUACGGAGACCAGACAACAGUCAGACAACAGUCAGACAACAGUCAUCACAGAUAAUGUAGAAAGAAACAACCCAAGAACAGCCGAGAGGUGCAGAGUGGUUUAACCCCCCGUGAGGUGCAGAGUGGUUUAACCCGUGAGGUGCAGAGUGGUUUAACCCCCCGUGAGGUGCAGAGUGGUUUAACCCCCAGUGAGGUGCAGAGUGGUUUAACCCCCAGUG
ensembl:lncRNA